GACGAACGCUGGCGGCGUGCUUAACACAUGCAAGUCGAACGGUAAGGCCCUUCGGGGUACACGAGUGGCGAACGGGUGAGUAACACGUGGGUGAUCUGCCCUGCACUUCGGGAUAAGCCUGGGAAACUGGGUCUAAUACCGGAUAGGACUCCGGACUGCAUGGUCUGGGGUGGAAAGCUUUUGCGGUGUGGGAUGGGCCCGUGGCCUAUCAGCUUGUUGGUGGGGUGAUGGCCUACCAAGGCGACGACGGGUAGCCGGCCUGAGAGGGUGACCGGCCACACUGGGACUGAGAUACGGCCCAGACUCCUACGGGAGGCAGCAGUGGGGAAUAUUGCACAAUGGGCGCAAGCCUCAUGCAGCGACGCCGCGUGAGGGAUGACGGCCUUCGGGUUGUAAACCUCUUUCAGCACCGACGAAGCGCAAGUGACGGUAGGUGCAGAAGAAGGACCGGCCAACUACGUGCCAGCCGCCGCAGUAA
rnacentral:rRNA from 1 species